GUUGGGCACGGUAAUGGCAAAUGCCUGUAAUCCCUGCUAAUGGGGAGACUGAGGCCCACUGAUCUCUUAAGCUCAGGAUCUUCUGAGCUGCAGAGGGCCAGGAUAAUUGAAUGACUGCAAUAAGUCUAACAUUAAUAUAGUAAGCCUCAGGAAGAGGGGCCAGCAGAUUGCUAAGGAGGAACAGUCUGGCCCAGAUCAGAAAUGGAGCAGGUCAAAACUCCCAUGCUGAUUAGUAAUGGAACCAACCCAUAAGUAAUCUUUGCAGUUACACUCUGUGCAAGAAGGAAGACAGUUGGAU
ensembl:misc_RNA Metazoa_SRP Metazoan signal recognition particle RNA